GGGGGUAUAGCUCAGGGGUAGAGUGCGUGCUUGGCAUGUCACAAGGUCCUAGAUCCUGGGUUCAAUCCCCAGUGCCUCCA
rnacentral:tRNA from 1 species